UUAAAUUGAAGAGUUUGAUCAUGGCUCAGAUUGAACGCUGGCGGCAGGCCUAACACAUGCAAGUCGAACGGUAACAGGAAGCAGCUUGCUUCUUUGCUGACGAGUGGCGGGCGGGNUNANUAANGNNUGGGAAACUGCCUGAUGGAGGGGGAUAACUACUGGAAACGGUAGCUAAUACCGCAUAACGUCGCAAGACCAAAGAGGGGGACCUUCGGGCCUCUUGCCAUCGGAUGUGCCCAGAUGGGA
rnacentral:rRNA from 1 species